rnacentral:snRNA from 1 species
UCCUAGCCCUGAUAGAAGCGGUAUCCUUUUUUGGUGAUUUUUCUUCACCAAAAAAGAUACAAGCGGAUAGCAGGAAAUAGC